ACCCCACCCCCGGCGGGGCGGAGCGGGACCCGUGGUGAUUCCCGGACUCUCGGCCGGAGCCGGGGGCGGAGGGGCGGCGGCGAGGUGCCGAGGGACCUCCGCCCGCUCCCGCCGCUAGCACCUGAAGGCCGCAGAGACCUGCCCUUUCCUCCCCAGCCUUUUUCCCCCCCGCAGGACUGAGGCCAUCCUGGCAGGCGGGUCCCGAGCCGAGGUAGCUCUGCCUUGCCCUCCCUAACCUCACCCGUAUUUGGCUCCAGAGUUAGCCCUCAGCUUUUCUUCCUUUAAGCAACUCCCACUGGCGGCAUCCUUUUCAAAUAUGAUGCGUGCUUUUCUUGAAGGCGACCUUCUCAAAGUUCUGAGAAUUUCUUGUUAGGGCGGUAUUGCAGACAGAUUAAAAAAAAAAAAAUCACAGUAAGGAAAGGGAACAGUCAGUAUGGACAUAGUAAUACCUGGGAGGAUGUUCACACCACUGCCUAACCAGAACGCCUGUAGAUUUUUCCAGUCUCAUGAAUUAACCAAAAAAGUCCCGAUCCUGGAAUCAUCCCACGAAUAGUGUGAUGUGCUGGGACUAUUCUCUGGGUUGCCAAUGGCUAAGAAUUGAAACCAUGUCAAGAACUUUGCCCAUUUCCCAUACCUCAAAAACAAACAGAAAAGAAAGGAGAAAGAAAGAAAAAAAAAAAAAAGACCUUUUUGUCUGUGUUCAUAAUUGCAACAAACGUUUCUCAACGAUUGAACUAUCCUUGAUGAGACAAAUAGUAUUAUAGAGAAAAACGUUAAAUUGGACUUCAGCUGUACCCCUUAUUGGUGAAGUGCUUGUGCAAGAAAUCUCUUUUCCUCUUGGCUUAAGAAUGGGGGACCCUACGUAAACUUCCCCAGUGGGAACUUCUGUUUCUCCAUACCGGUUAACUGGCUUGUCAACGAUUCUGUUUUGAGAACACAAUUUUAUGUACAUCCAGAGAACUGGACCCACCAACCCAGGAGUUUUCAAACUGCUUUGAACCUAGGAACUGGAGAGACUGGAGGAUCUCUUUCCCAGUUAAGAUUUGGGUGUGGAGAAUCCUAGGGACUAUGGAGAAGGAAGAGUGUGGAUCAUCACUGGCCUUGAAUUUUAAAACAUUCAAAACAUUUUUUGUGCAGGCAUUAAUAGACUUGAUGAGAGAUAUCUAGCAACCGAGGACCUCAGAGUGAAAGAGUGAGGAAUCUGACAACCUUCAGAAAGGCAUGUCUUAAUUUUCCAUGAAGAUGGCAACUUGCAAAUGUUAGUAAAAUAGAAAACGCUGUAAAACGACACUAUAAACUCAGAAGCAGGACACCCAAUAGAUGCACAAACCUGUAUCUCCAAUCCUAACCUUUUCUCAGAAAUGCAGGUUCAUAUCACUAUCUGCCUACUGAAAUUUCCAUUUAGCUGGCCAGAAGACCUAAGCCAACUAUCUCCAAAAUAUACCCUAACGCAGUCUUCUCAUCCUUUGUUCGGUCACUCUUAACAGGAGCAGCCUCUCCUUUGGACUAGCACAUCUAGCCCAUUUCUUCCAUCUAACCCACAUCUCUUCCAUUUUUUGUCCCUUCUAAUCCAUUCACUGGUGUUUGUCAAGCUUUAAAUGUGCAUAUGAAUCGCCUGGGGAUGUUGUUAACAGCACUUAGUCUCAUUCAGUUCUGGGUGGUGCCUCAGAUUCUGCAAUUGUUUCAAGCUCAGAGGUGAUGCUGCUGUUCCCGACUGGGGAGGCAGUAGCCAACUAAACUGCCCCUCUCCCACCUUGUGAAGCCUUUCAGAGGACCCUGGAGGAACAGAUUGUCAUUUUGUCUUCAGACUCGUUCACCAUCUAGCCUCUCUAUUUAGACUGCCAAAUGAUGUCAAAGACAUCCUGUCAAAAGCCAAGAACUAUGAACACACAUUAAAUCUGAUGAAGUGAGAAGACUCCCAUUUUGAUAAUCCUUUUAUCUUCACUCUCCAACUAAAGUUAAGGAAGAAAGAACUAUUGGCAUUCAAUAAAGAAUGAUGGGAACCCCCGCUUUCACUUGCUCUGACCCCACAUAGGAAGAGAAGUUGCCUUCUCUGAACUAUCCUUCACCAUUGACAGAAUUGACAGAAUGUGCUUUUUAAAACCAGAAUUGAUUAUGUCAUUCCCCAGACUAGUCCUUACCUCCUGUGAAAACCCAGGGGCAAAGUGAAUCUGCCAUUUGACUCAUAUUCCUGUCAACUUCAGGGUGACUGCUACAGACACAGAGGGAUGUUCUUGGAUUGAUAAUUUUUGCCAGUCAUGAAAGUAAAUGCCUAUAUCCAGAAGAAUAAAAUGAUGAAUCAUACAGGAUAUUCAGUAGGAUAAGAACAUCCACAUUCAGAGGACUAAGGCUUUGAGGAAAAUCUGAAUUUGGGAAUAGAGCAAGAGAGUACAGAAUUGGAACCACUAGGCAAGUCAUACUGAUUGGGGAGGUUGGAUGUCAUUUUGGUUCAAUUUAAUCUAAUAUGGUAUAUUCUUAGCACUGAGUUAGGCACUUAGAACACAAACAUACUCAUUUUCAAUACAGUCCAUGCCUCCUCACCUGUCACAUUAAAGUGCUGACAGAGAGAUAACCGCAAGUUAUAUCACAAUGUAUUUGAAGAAUGGUAUGAGGAUGGAGGUAAUGAUAAUGAGGAAAAGCUUUGCAGGAUCAUAAGGCUUGAUAUCUUUCAUGGACAGGUGGGGAUUAAGGAGAGAUAGAAGAGAGUGAGGUUUCAGACAAAGUAAUUAUUUACAGAAUUGUUUGGUAUAAUACUUUAGAGAAAAUAUUUUUCAGUGUUGUUUGUUGAAGAUGAAUUUGGAAGAAAUUAGAUCAGUUUGGAGCUAUUGAAAUAGUCUAGGCAGAAAACCAUGAGGGCUUAACCUAAUACUUUGUCCAGAAAACAAGAAACUGAUUUGAAAGCUAGUAUAGCAUUCAAAUUAAUAGGACUGUGUUACUAUCUGGAUGUUGGGGGAUGUAGUAAAUUCUUGGGUAUUAUAGAUGCUUUUGUUUGGGGCUACUAGAUGGAUAAACAUGCCAUUCACUGAGAUAGGCACAUAGGAAGUAGAUAGAUUUGGGUGGGAGAUAAUGACUUUUGACCUAUUGAGUGUAUAUUAUUUCUGGAAGAUAUAUAUGAAGAGAAUGAUGAGGUAAGAUAACAUGAUGAGGUAUCAGUGAUGUUUUAAUUCCUUUUCUUGGAGUCUGUUGGUAUUCUAGCCCGGGAAAUUUAGAGUAUCGCUUCUAUACUGCCACGUGAAAAGAAAUGAUUACAAUAAAGCAGAUCAAGAGUUAAUUCUUAGGUUUGAUUUCCAAAAGCCUAGGACUUGCCAUAGAGAAAAGAUUUCAAAAAUCCUCAUGAAAAAAAUAGAUAUAAAAAGAUUCCUCUUUUGUAAAUCUCCUUUCCUCUUAGACUAAAGAAAAGUCAUGGACUCCAGGAAGGGACCUCUCAUAUUCAACUUCACAAUAUGGAGAUUUGGCAAGUUACAGAGUUCAUUCAUAACAUGCAAGAACAAGGGCAAAAAGAAAUCUCUUGGUAUGUCUAGGCAGAUUGGCUAGGCAGAGGGCUUCAUGGAAUUUCCCAUAGCCCUGACUGGUUUGGGAUCAGGAAGGUAUUUUCCAUGUGUCCUAGAGUGGCUCAUACAUGGCUGAAAAUGUGCUGAACUUAGUGAAGUUGGGGGAGGAGAGGUUGCAGCACUUAUUUUUGUGGUCUGAUGAACAAAGUACAAACUGGGAAAAGGGACAGCUUAGCAAAUGACAAGUGGGUAUGUAAGCACAUUGUCCUAAAACCCUACUGUGCCUCCAGAGUUUAUAAAGCAAGUCUAGGGAGAAAGCAGAUUGCUCCUUCAACUGAUUAAAAUCAAGUUUCCAUUUUCAGGUGAAAUAGGCUUUCAAAAUGUAAGUUCAAUUAUUGAAAAAUAAAGAAAAUCCAUCAAGUUAGUAUCUAGCUUUGUAGACUGGGAUUUAUAUAUGUUAUACACAGUAAGCAAUUGGAUAUGUUUUCCUGGGAUAUGAUUGAUAAAGCUCUUUUGGAGGUAUUGAGUUAGAAGUCAUCAAUAUAUCUGUAGUGGUUGAAAGCCUACCAAUAAUCAGAUUACCUUGGUAACGUGCAGAGCAAGAGAAAAACAGGUUAAGGGCAAAAAUCUCUGAAGAACGCCCAUAUUGAAACAGGUAGAAGGAGUAGUUUAUGUCUGAAAGUUUAACAUUGCUGGCCUUGAAUUUCAAUUCAAAAGAUUUAUCAUCUAACAUGUCUUGGUUUCAUGAGAAAUAUUAUAUAUUGUUAAAAUAAAAUGUCUUUCUUGCCUUUCAUCAUCUACAUAAUUAAGCUAACUGACUUCUGCAAUUCUUUGUUUUAUAUUAACUUUGAUUUCUGUUGGAACAGAGACUUUGAGUGUUGGUAUAUAUUAACAUAUCAAUGAGCUUUUAUUAAAAAACAAAAAAACAGUGUUUCCCUACCCCCCUCCCCCCAAAAGAGGAAAACAAGGGAAAAGAAAAUGCAAGAAAUAGCAUUCAAAUAACACAGAUGAGAUUAUAGGCAAGCUCUGAUUCAUCAUAAGUAGCUGUAUUAUAGAGUAGCCUGAAAAGUUAGAGCUUUGGUAGCUUGGUAAUUUCUGAGCCUUUAUUAGAGUUUCAAUUGUCUUCAAGUAACCCAUGGUAAUAAAUUUCUUUUGGUGUGCAUGCUGGUAUUUUUGAGCACGUUAGAGGUAUAGACUCUUAUUUAGAAUGAAGCUGAAGAGGCUGCCAACACUUCAUGUGUCAGCCUUGGUGGAAACUGAUGUUCAUGUGUUUCUGUCAGUUGUCACCUGGGAUGAAUUUCAGUUGCCAUUGUGAAUACAAAGAGCUCACUAUCCCAUUACAAAUUCCCAUGAGUUAUUUAGUCCUGUCUUUCUUUUUCUAAAGGUUAAACUCUUAUCUUUCUGCUAAAAAGUUAGAUAAUUAACAUUCUCACUUACAAUGCUUCCAUAACAUCUGUAGAUUAUGCACCAUUAAUCAAGUUCCUCUGCAGGCAUGAUUGACUUUUACAAAGAAACUUGGGGAAUAAAUCCUUUCUCUUUAGUAAUAACUUUGUUGUUAUUAUGGUUUAAAAAAGUCCCUUUCUGAGAAACUCAAUUUAGAGUAACAGUCUCUAGCUACUUAAAAUGGGUAUUAUAAAACCAUAUAACAGAAAUAAGAGUAAGUGAUGUAUUUUAGAAUCUGUAAGAGUGCUGACAUCUCUGCAUUAAAAACUUUAGAAUCUGUGAUUUCCAAAGUACUGCAUAUUUAUACAAUCAUUUGUAUUGACACUUAAAUUCUCCAUUCUCAAAUGACAGAAGCAAAAAUUAAGCAUAUAUACUUUAUUAGUAUUUCAACUUGAAUUUAGAUUUCAUUUGUAUAGAAAGGAUAAUAAAGAAAUCAUAUUUUAACAUUGUAGAAUUUCUGUGCCUGAAUUAUUUGUCAAGAGCACCUGCACAAGGCAAGUGCUGGACAUUUAUAGAAUAUAUGUCCUAGAAACAAUUUGUUCAUGGAAAAAAAUCUGUUUUAUAUCUGUGAUGUUUCCUUGACAUUUUCUUUCUGCUAUAGGUUUCUUAUAAUACCUCCUUGAUCUGUCUGAGGAGAUAGAUUGUGGGAAUUUUUUGGAAGCUUUAGAGAUCUAUUAAACAUAGAAAUAAAACUUCUUCUUUUCCAUUAUAAGACCUUGUUUUCCAUUCUCUCCCUCAUGUUUCCUUUUUUCUUUUCCUCCUAAGUGAGCCAUAGGAAAAAACAAAACAAAGCUCUUUGAAGAAAAUAAAUUAACAUAAGAUUUUGUUGUUGCUGUAUAACAGAAAACAUACAUACAUUGGGUCAAUAAAACUAGAUGUUGUAUAUUAUGUCAAAAAUAUUAAUGAAAUACCUUGACCUACAAGGCUCUUUUCCUAGAGUUUGAAUAUAACACAAUUUUCACAGAAAAAGAUUGACAACAUUGACAUAGAGGCAUAUAUAUAUAUAUAUAUAUAUAUAUAUAUAUAUAUAUAUAUAUUUGUUAACUCAGAAGUAGACAUAGAAAUAAUUUUUUA